AACGGCCAAGAACCUUACCUGGUCUUGACAUCCACGGAAGUUUUCAGAGAUGAGAAUGUGCCUUCGGGAACCGUGAGACAGGUGCUGCAUGGCUGUCGUCAGCUCGUGUUGUGAAAUGUUGGGUUAAGUCCCGCAACGAGCGCAACCCUUAUCCUUUGUUGCCAGCGGUCCGGCCGGGAACUCAAAGGAGACUGCCAGUGAUAAACUGGAGGAAGGUGGGGAUGACGUCAAGUCAUCAUGGCCCUUACGACCAGGGCUACACACGUGCUACAAUGGCGCAUACAAAGAGAAGCGACCUCGCGAGAGCAAGCGGACCUCAUAAAGUGCGUCGUAGUCCGGAUUGGAGUCUGCAACUCGACUCCAUGAAGUCGGAAUCGCUAGUAUCGUGGAUCAGAAUGCCACGGUGAAUACGUUCCCGGGCCUUGUACACACCG
rnacentral:rRNA from 1 species